AUCUACAUAGGCAGGCACACAACCUAGUUGCAUCACGUUCACACCCAGGAUCACAUGAUGUUUUGAAAAGUCACAUGACCAAUUAGGAAGUGAUAAGUGUCUGCUGGUUGCAAGGCAGAUUCUCUUUGUGUUGGUGCUGGACACUGUUGUGCGUGUUGGGCUUCCUUUUCAGUGUAGGUACUGUUGGUCAUGGUAGAGCAUGAUUAAUCACUGCCAUUUGAAUUUUAAUAUUUAUUUUGUUUUAUCAGGGUAAUUUCUAGAAGUGUGUGUCUACUCUUCAUGGAGGACACAGGCUUCUGCAUGGAGUUUUAAAAUGUGUUGUGAUCACCUCAUUGUGACCUGAGCUGCUGGGCUGCAUCGGCUAUCCCUGUACAAGGCCGGAUCCACACUGAUGCUUUGCCCCUUCUUGCCAAGGGACCACAUUGUUAGAGACAUUGGUUUGGGGUGUCUUUAUAACCAUAACACGGUGUGAGAUUUUUUUGUCGUGGUAUCUGAAGAUCUUGAAUGAGUGGUGCUUGCUGUGUUGCAUGCUUCUUCUGGUGCUGGGUUGCUGUCUCCUGUUUCUUUUUGUCUCACCAGGGUCCACCUGAGCAGGGGUUUCGCAUUGGCUGAUCCGACCUUCCUAGACUGAGGAGAAUCCACCAAUUGUAUAGCAGUAUUUAAGAGCCAUUUUAAUAACUUUUCCACACUUUUUGUACUAAAUUGUAAUAAAUUUGAAAUACAUUUAUA